CAAUAGCGUAUAUUAAAGUUGUUGCGGUAAAAAAGCUCGUAGUUGGAUUUCUGUUGAGAGCGACCGGUCCAUACCAUGUAUGCGUAUCUGGCUUGCUCUCGGCAUCCUCUCGAUAGACGUUACUGCGCUUGAUUGCGUGGUGCGGAUCUCGGGACUUUUACUUUGAGGAAAUUAGAGUGUUCACGGCAGGCUUUCGCCAGAAUACAUUAGCAUGUAAUAAUACUAUAGGAUCUUGGUUCUAUUUUGUUGGUUUCUAGAAUUGAGAUAAUGAUUAAUAGGGACAAUUGGGGGCAUUCGUAUCAACACGUCAGAGGUGGAAUUCUUGGAUUGUGCUGCGACGAACUACUGCGAAAGCAUUUGCCAAGGAUGUUUUCAUUGA
rnacentral:rRNA from 1 species